rnacentral:lncRNA from 1 species
UAUUAUAUAAUAUGUCUUUGUUGUAAAUGUCUGUAACAUGUCUGUAGAUUUUAUUUUACUUCUAUUUUUUGCUUUGUUCUAUGUUAAUUUUAUUAUUUUUAUUUGCUUUGGCAACACUGAUUGUACCCAUCGGUCAUGCUAAUAAAGCACCUUGAAUUGAAUUGAAUUGAAUACUCUGGGAGACACGGGGAGACCCCGAGAGACUGUGGGAGACUCUGGGAGACGCUGAGGGUCGCGGAGAGAUGCUGGGAAAUGCUGAGAGACACAGGGAGCUAUACGAAAUAAGAAGAAAAAAAAAACGGAAAUAACCUCCCUGUUCCUCCAGUCAUUCACUAGAACUUCCGCCCGGUUGACAAUACAGGUGAAAACAGGUUAACAGCCGGAUACGGGUGAAUUUCCUGUGCAGUGGUGAAGAGGAACCACAGCUGAAAAUGUGUCUUUUCUUUUUCAUUCAAGAUGGAAUAACCCUUUACCUGUUCCUUUGCAGCCUAUGCAUGCUGACACAGGUACCUACUGGAACGUCUAUAAUUCUUAUUUUGUUUCUCUCUUGUGAAUCAUUAGGCCGCUGUGGGAUCGGGGAGCAGGGAAAGACCCAUCAAGGACACAGGCAGAAGGAUGCAGGUCGGCUGCCUUUACAUAAAGAGAGGUGCCGCUCGUUAAAACCGGCGAUUAGCCGGAAUUGUGCCUGGAUGUGCAGAGAAACGUCACAGGUGCCCAUUGCUUGCUGGGACAGACUCCACCUCCCCUGUAGCCCUGUACUGGGCAAACUGGGAAUACAAUUUUCAGCUCCACCUCAAAAGGAUCUCUGCGCCUGGGGCUGGGAGGGGUUUGCCGGUUCGAAUCCCGCGGCCGGCAGAGGAAUCCUACUCCGUCGGGGCCCCCCCUGA